rnacentral:rRNA from 1 species
UCCCCGCCUGAAUUUAAGCAUAUAAGUAAGCGGGGGAAAAGAAACCAAAUGGGAUUCUCUCAGUAAUGGCGAAUGAAGACAGAGUAGUCCACAGUGAUAAUUGGGCCAUCACUGGUCCGAGUUGUAUUCUGAAGGGAAGGUGCCCGUACUGACAUCGGCGAAAGUCUCGUGGAAACGAGCCCCAGUGAAGGUGAGAGGCCUGCACAUCGCUGCCUGUUUUGUACGAACGGUACCUCUUCCUGGAGUCACACUCUUUGGGAUUGGAGUGCUGGAUAGGUGGUAAAUCUCAUCUACGACUACAUAAAGGUCUGGAACCGAUAGCAGAGAAGUACCAUGAGGGAAAUGUGAAAAGGACUUUGAGAAGAGAGUUAAACAGUAUGUGAAACUGCUGAAAGGGAAGUGUAUGUAGAGCAUGCAAUUUGUGGUAAGAUUGUGCUAUCUUGGAUUCGACUGUGAGCUCUUUUGUUUUCAGUGGUGUCUUUCGAUGGCAUGUUUCUUUCCCAAUGAGCUAGCCAUUAUGACCUUCAGCGAAAACCAAGUGUCCUACUUCAUUCCUCUGCGGAGGUUUGGAGGGUCGCUCUGGGAUGUUGGAGGUAAAUGUGGUUGGUAAUGAUCUGCACUACGACCCGUCUUGAAACACGGACCAAGGAUUCUAAUACCUGUGCACAUCAAGAGUCUUUAUACCUCUAGAUGUAAUGAAAGUGACUGCUGGGAUCUUUGCACCAGCGACCACCCUGUACAUGAUACAACUCUGACUUUGAGCACAAUUACUAGGACCCGAAAGGUGGUGAACUAUGCCUGUGAUGAGCACAGCCAUGGGAAACUCUGGUGUGUGCUUGCUGCUGUACUGACGUGCAAAUCUUCGUCAAACAUGGGUAUAGGGGCGAAAGACUAAUCCAACCAUCUUAUAUCUGGUUGCCUUCCGA